rnacentral:rRNA from 1 species
AGUGAACGCUGGCGGUAUGCCUAACACAUGCAAGUCGAACGGCAGCACAGUAAGAGCUUGCUCUUACGGGUGGCGAGUGGCGGACGGGUGAGGAAUACAUCGGAAUCUACUUGUUCGUGGGGGAUAACGUAGGGAAACUUACGCUAAUACCGCAUACGACCUACGGGUGAAAGCAGGGGAUCUUCGGACCUUGCGCGAUUGAAUGAGCCGAUGUCGGAUUAGCUAGUUGGCGGGGUAAAGGCCCACCAAGGCGACGAUCCGUAGCUGGUCUGAGAGGAUGAUCAGCCACACUGGAACUGAGACACGGUCCAGACUCCUACGGGAGGCAGCAGUGGGGAAUAUUGGACAAUGGGCGCAAGCCUGAUCCAGCCAUGCCGCGUGGGUGAAGAAGGCCUUCGGGUUGUAAAGCCCUUUUGUUGGGAAAGAAAAGCAGCAGGUUAAUACCCCGCUGUUCUGACGGUACCCAAAGAAUAAGCACCGGCUAACUUCGUG